GGUGUCAUCUGCUAAAUGGUGAGGCAACCAGUCUCUCAAACUGGAAAUCUGAGUUCAAUUCUCAGUGACACUA
rnacentral:tRNA from 1 species